rnacentral:rRNA from 1 species
ACGGAGGGUGCAAGCGUUAAUCGGAAUUACUGGGCGUAAAGCGCACGCAGGCGGUUUGUUAAGUCAGAUGUGAAAUCCCCGGGCUCAACCUGGGAACUGCAUCUGAUACUGGCAAGCUUGAGUCUCGUAGAGGGGGGUAGAAUUCCAGGUGGGGCGGCGAAAUGCGUAGAGAUCUGGAGGAGUACCGAUGGCGAAGGCGGCAACCAGGACUAAGUCUGCCGCUAGGGUGCGAGAGCGUGGGGUGCGACCCG